rnacentral:rRNA from 1 species
CCUACGGGAGGCUGCAGUGGGGAAUAUUGGGCAAUGGACGCAACUCUGACCCAGCAACGCCGCGUGAAUGAUGAAGGUCCUCGGAUUGUCAAGUCCUGUGAUGGGGGAUGAACACAAUGACGGUACCCCAAUAGCAAGCCACGGCUAACUACGGGCCUGCAGCCGCGGUAAUACGUCGGUGGCAAGCGUUAUCCGGAUUGACUGGGCGUAAAGGUUGCGUAGGUGGUUUAGUAAGUUGGCGGUGUAAUUCCGGGGCCUAAACUCGGCGCUACCGCCAAAACUCGUAGACUAGAGUGCAGGGGGGGUAAGGGGAAUUCGUAGUGGAGCGGUGGAAUGCGGAGAUAUUGGGAGGAACCUCAGGGGCGAAGGCGACUUGCUGGACUGUAACUGACGCUGAGGCACGAAAGCGCGGGGAGCAAACAGGAUUAGAUACCCGGGUAGUC